rnacentral:rRNA from 1 species
CCUACGGGCGGCAGCAGUGAGGAAUAUUGGUCAAUGGGCGCAAGCCUGAACCAGCCAAGUCGCGUGAGGGAUGACGGUCCUAUGGAUUGUAAACCUCUUUUGUCGGGGAGCAAGGCCUGCCACGUCCGGCGGGAAGGACAGUACCCGAAGAAAAAGCAUCGGCAAACUCCGUGCCAGCAGCCCGGGUAAUAGGGGGGAUGCGAGGGUUAACCGGAUUUAUUGGGUUAAAGGGGUGCGUAGGCGGAAGGUUAAGUGAGCGGUAAAAUGUCUGUGCUCAACACCGGCCUGCCGUUGAAACUGGUCUUCUUGAGUGAUGGAGAAGUAUGCGGAAUGCGUGGUGUAGCGGUGAAAUGCGUAGAUAUCACGCAGAACUCCGAUUGCGAAGGCAGCAUACCGGCGCUCAACUGACGCUGAGGCACGAAAGCGUGGGGAUCGAACAGGAUUAGAUACCCUGGUAGUC